rnacentral:lncRNA from 1 species
CCCGCCGAAGAAAACCUUCAUCACAAUAAGAUAUCUAAUAUUUCAAACAGGCUUGAAUGAACGAGCUAAUUCUCGAGUCAACCAUGAUUCCUAGUGUGGUAAUUAGAUGGAUGUAGAAGGACGUAAACCAGAAAAGUUAUUUCAAACUAUGGUACUGAAAAGAUAAACUGGUAGAUUAGUCGUCUGAGCCAAGGAAGCUAAUUACUGACUUUACUAUCUAUCUAUUCCUCCCACCGUUUGUCUAGCAGUCUGUGGGAACUAGAGAGAGAAAAUUCCAUUAUAAUCCCCGUGUUAAAAACAAGCUUUCUGCGUGUUUUGCAAUAGCUAAACCAGCCGAAACAUUAUCUCAUAGAUGGAUGUACAUUUGAACUAAACAUAUAGCGGACAACUAUGCUGAUAGUAAAGACUAUUCUGAUUAGGAUUUCCUGAACUUUAUCCAAUUUUAAUGAGGUGAUCCGUGUGUGUGUUUUUUCAGUAACAUCACAGCACAAGUUACUCUGUCCGUGAAAAACUCGUACUGAUGAGAAAUCGUUGGGUGUGGUGCUUUAAUUGAUGGUGGUCAUGCAUGAAUAUAGUGAGCAGAAGGAAAAAAAACCAUCACCUUUUGUUUUCACGGUUCGUAUAGUCUUUGGUAGAUAAGCCCAGUUUUCACGCUGUCUGGUUAUAUUAAAUCAAUCUAGUGGAAAUUCACACGAGAGACUACUGGUACCCAACUAUCAGGUUUCUUACGUGAAUUUGUUCAUGAUGAGCGAGAGUAGUUGGAACUGGAAAAGGUUGAGGUUCUAGCGGCUGUAAUCUUAGAGCAGGUUACCAAGCUUUGAUUAACAGGCUACUCAGACUUUCGUAAUUCAGCCUACUGAGUUACAGGUAGUGAAAAGUCUUAUUUAUGCUGGAUAUUUUUGUAAUUAACCAGAACUUUGUUGUUUCAGUAUCAUCGUGUCGACUGAGCGCGCUGUCAUUCCGCUUGUGGUACUAAUAUUCUAACCGUUAUUCCUCAGCAAAAAUGAUUGAGUAAUCCAACAACAGAAUAGCUGAAACGACAAGAAAGUUACUUAAUCUAGCAUUUAUUUUGUAUAAAACAUCCGUGAAAUAGAUGCAGCUUACAAUAAAACAGCAGUAUGAGGCACUAGGAGUGGCGGGUCAUACGAAUACAUGCUUAUACUUGGUUAUAAUAAAACAUAGGAAAAGGUAGCCACAAACCCCUGACAAUAAAUGAUAUAAAACUUACAAACCCAAAAGAAUAUCACUUUCUUUCAUAUAACAUUAUAAUAAACAUUCAAAAAUAUAAAUGGUGGAUUUUAAAUUAAAAUUAUUAUUAUAAAUGUACAGUAAGAAGCCCAUAAUGACGAUGUUAUCGCGUUAUUUUAACAGAAAUUCAAACCUGAUUCAUUUUUAGUAUCGUUUAAUUUCUUUCUGGUAAGGUUUGGGUUGCUUUAUUCCUAGCAUACUAGUAAAUAUACCAUUAAUUACUAUUCAGAAUGAAUGUCAAAUACGUCUCGUAAUCAACAUACAUGUAUCUUUUUAUUUGAAUAAAAACACCAAUUCAUUCCUGACACCUACUCUACCUUUCACCCUCUUAAGAACUUUGUUACUGAACAGUAUUUUGAUAAUUUUCCACGGCUAACUGUCACACUUUCAUCAGUUAAUCCUCUAAAAACUUUGCUACUGAACAGUGUUUUGAUCAUUUUCCACGGCUAACUGUCACACUUUCAUCAGUUAAUCCUCUAAAAACUUUGCUACUGAACAGUGUUUUGAUAAUUUCACACGGCUAACUGUCACAUUUUUAUCAUUUUAUACUAUAAGAACUUGGCUACUGACCAGUGUUCUGAUAAUGUUCCACGGCUAACUGCCACAGUUUCAUCAGUUAAUCCUCCAAGAACUUGGCUACUGACCAGUGUUCUGAUCAUUUUCCACAGCUAACUGACACAGUUUCAUAAGUUAAUCCUCCAAGAACUUGGCGACUGACCAGUGUUCUGAUCAUUUUCCGCAGCUAACUGCCACAGUUUGAUCAGUUAAUCCUCUAAGAACUUGGCGACUGACCAGUGUUCUGAUAAUUUUCCAAGGCUAAAUGCCACAGUUUGGUCAGUUAAUCGUCUAAGAACUUGGCGACUGACCAGUGUUCUGAUAAUUUUCCAAGGCUAACUGCCGCUGUUUCAUCAGUUAAUCGUCUAAGAACUUGGCGACUGACCAGUGUUCUGAUAAUUUUCCAAGGCUAAAUGCCACAGUUUGGUCAGUUAAUCCUCUAAGAACUUGGCGACUGACCAGUGUUCUGAUCAUUUUCCAAGGCUAACUGAGAAACAAGUGGCAACAAACAUGCCGAGAAAUAUUAACUAGAGUAUGAUACAAACUUAUAAAUUUCUAGCGGCAGCUAAUUGCUGACCAACGAAAGGGUAUCAAAAUAUUUCGUUAUGUACAUAACUAUUAUAUAUGUGUUACAGUUUAGGUCUAUUAAGUUCAUAACCGUGUAUGUAAUUUGGCCUACAAUGAGAACACAUUGCACACAAAUUAGUAAACGCAUCGCCACAGCUUGGGUUAAACUAAUCUACAGUGGCAUUACUUUGCAGUCGGAUAAUAAUGAUAGGGCAUAACAUUUUUCAGUAACAAAAAUAUUUAAAAGAAGCUUUAUAAAAUUAUUGGUGGGACAAAUGCUCCACUUGCCACAAGUGUUCCGGCGCCCUUGUUACAGAGGCUUAAGUUAAAUUUAAUUAUGAUAUAUAUUGUUUAUUGAAUUUCGCGCAAAGUCACUCGAGGGCUAUCUGAGCCAGCCAUUCCUAAUUUUGAAGUGGCAAAUAAUAGUGGGUCUGGCCUUCAUAGUAUAACGCUCCUAAGGCGAGCAAAUUCGGUGACAGAAUUCGAACAUGUGAUCCGCAGAUUGAAAGUCGAGUGCCCUAACCACCAGGCUAUAAAUACUAGUUAACGUCCACGGGGCCAUUGCAAACUGCACAAAAAGGGGGGGGGGGGUAUUAAGUAGAGACUAAUUAGGUCGUAUGAUAAUACCUCUAUUAUAAACAAAUAUGUCUAUAAUAAGUGGUAGCAAACAUAGCCUAUUUAUUUAUAGCUUUGUUAUAAAUAUCAGUGCUCAUUAUUGCAGUAAACAUGGUAAUCAUUUUUUAUAAGUGUCAAAAAAAAUCCUGUAAAGGGGUCCUGCCAUGUACCGGGUAACCUCCUUUGAUUGGCACCACCAAAGCGUCUUUAAGUUUGGUGCUACUGCGUAAAAAAGCGGGAAAAUCAUAGCCUAUGUGACAUUUAUCAGUUAUUGUACUUGUUGCUGAUCUCUGCGCCCGGAGGGGAGGGGGGGUAAUUAGAGGGGGUGUUCAUUAGGGCAAUACCGUAUAUAAUUAACUUAUUUUUGAUAAUGGACACUGUAAAAUAAAUCCUUAAACUUCAAUAUUUAAAGGAAACAUUCUAAUUUUCUAAUUGUAGGCAAAAUUUCAUUUGGUUUAUUAAAUAUUGCGCAAAGUUACACGAGAGCUAUCUGGGCUAGCCUUCCCUACUUUUGAACUGAUAGACUAGAGGGAAGACAGCUACUCAACACCAUCUAUCGCAUACUCUCGGGUUACUCUCGUCAGACUGAAUACUGGGAUUAGACCAUCGAUCUUAUAACGCACCUACGGCUCUAAAGUGCGGGACGCAAUUAUUAAUAUUUUAUUUUGUAUAGUAACAGGUCACGAACUCUGUUUCAGUCCGGUACACUAACCGCCUUCCUAUACAGAAGCAGGCAAUCUUCAGUGUUAACAGUAAGAUUUUCCGUGUGUGUCUUAAGAAGUAGAAACACGUUACUUACACGUUCAUUUUACUUGCGUACUUUUAAAUAUUUUCCGUUAUUCAUGUACUACUUCUUACAAUACCAGUAGUUUUAUUUAACUCAGAUUAUAUCAGAAAAAAUAAAAUUUUUGAAAACGUACGCGCGGGACACGAGUUUACUAAAAUCACACUGCAGCUUAAUAUUCUAGCGAAACGAAAUCAAAGCCUCGUUCGGUUACAGGGCCAGAUUGGAAGGGAGCGGGGGCAAAUGGGUGCAUUUAUACUGGUCCGCACGGAUCCCUCGACUACGUGAAAAAUAAUCAAAAACUUGAUGUCUCAUUGGAAUACAUAUGCUUGCAACUGUGUCACUAUGACAACAGUGAUUUUAAUCGUUUCAUAUAAACCUACUAUAUUGUAAUUACUUUAUAUUCAUUAGAAUUAGUGUUUUGUAUAUUAUCUAUUAAUCGCUUGUAUUUGUGAGUUUCCCUAACUGCAGUUAAUAUACAGUAUUGAAUUGUGUUUAACUUUUUUAAAAUUAAUUUCAGUUCUGUGACCCUCCCCCCUACAAAAUUUGCCACGGAUCUCUCAAGUCCUUAAUCUGGCCCUAUUUGGGUACGUGAUUUAUUAUAACAUACAAUAACUAUAUAAAACUUUCAACAGUUUCAUUGUCUUUUCGAGCUUAGUAAUGAGACUGAAAAGACUAAAUCUGUUCUUUCCGACAUGCCCGGAUCCCAGACUGACGU